AACUGCGAUAAGCCUCGGGGAGUGGUAAGCACACUUUGAUCCGGGGAUCUCCGAAUGGGGGAACCCACCAUCUGUAAUGGGAUGGUAUCCUUCACUGAAUACAUAGGUGAUGAGAGGGCAGACCCGGUGAACUGAAACAUCUAAGUAGCCGGAGGAAGAGAAAACAAUAGUGAUUCCGUCAGUAGUGGCGAGCGAACGCGGAAGAGCCUAAACCGCAGGAUUUAUCCUGCGGGGUUGUGGGGCGUUUCAUAUAGGAGUUACAAAAGACAGAUGUAGGUGAACAGUUUGGGAAGACUGACCAAAGAGCGUGAUAGUCGCGUAACCCAAACAUCUGUCUCUCCGAGACCAACCCCGAGUAGCGCGGGACACGUGAAAUCCCGUGUGAAUCUGGCAGGACCAUCUGCUAAGGCUAAAUACUACCUAACGACCGAUAGUGAACCAGUACCGUGAGGGAAAGGUGAAAAGCACCCCGGGAGGGGAGUGAAAUAGUACCUGAAACCGUGUGCUUACAAAUAGUCGGAGCACUUU
rnacentral:rRNA from 1 species